GACGAACGCUGGCGGCGUGCUUAACACAUGCAAGUCGAACGGAAAGGCCCUGCUUGCAGGGUGCUCGAGUGGCGAACGGGUGAGUAACACGUGGGUGAUCUGCCCCUUACUUUGGGAUAAGCCUGGGAAACUGGGUCUAAUACUGGAUAGGACCAUGCUGUAGGUGGUGUGGUGGAAAGAUUAGUUUCGGUAAGGGAUGAGCUCGCGGCCUAUCAGCUUGUUGGUGGGGUAAUGGCCUAACAAGGCGUCGACGGGUAGCCGGCCUGAGAGGGUGGACGGCCACAUUGGGACUGAGAUACGGCCCAGACUCCUACGGGAGGCAGCAAUGGGGAAUAUUGCACAAUGGGCGCAAGCCUGAUGCAGCGACGCCGCGUGGGGGAUGACGGCCUUCGGGUUGUAAACUCCUUUCAGCCAUGACGAAGCCUUCGGGUGACGGUAGUGGUAGAAGAAGCACCGGCUAACUACGUG
rnacentral:rRNA from 1 species